GCUGAGAGAUAGCUCGGUUGGUAGAGCACGAGACUCUUAAUUUCAGGGUCAAGGGUUUGAGCCCCAUGGUAGGUG